UACGUAGGGUGCAAGCGUUGUCCGGAAUUAUUGGGCGUAAAGAGCUCGUAGGCGGUCUGUCGCGUCGGCUGUGAAAUCCCUCGGCUUAACCGGGGAACUGCGUCUGAUACUGGAUGGCUUGAGGUUGGGAGAGGGAUGCGGAAUUCCAGGUGUAGCGGUGAAAUGCGUAGAUAUCUGGAGGAACACCGGUGGCGAAAGCGGCUCACUGGACCACAACUGACGCUGAGGAGCGAAAGCGUGGGGAGCAAACAGG
rnacentral:rRNA from 1 species